CCCUUAGAUGUUCUGGGCCGAACGCGCGCUACAAUGGUCUUCGCAAACGGAUGCAUUCUCGAAGGAGAAUGCCAAUCUUGGAAUCUAUGCCUUGGUCGGGACAGUUGCUUGCAAUUUUUCGACUCGAACCAGGAAUUCCUUGUAAUCGUGAUUCAUCACAUCACGAUGAAUACGUCCCUGCCCUUUGUACACACCGCCCGUCGCUCCUACCGAUCGAAGAGUUAGGUGAAUUGUUUUGAUCGAUAAGAUUUGACUAUGGUCAACUCUCGUUGUGAAAUUCUGUGAAUCUGACUGUUUAGAGGAAGGAAAAGUCGUAACA
rnacentral:rRNA from 1 species